rnacentral:rRNA from 1 species
UUUAUGGAGAGUUUGAUCCUGGCUCAGGAUGAACGCUGGCGGCGUGCCUAAUACAUGCAAGUCGAGCGAACGGACGAGAAGCUUGCUUCUCUGAUGUUAGCGGCGGACGGGUGAGUAACACGUGGAUAACCUACCUAUAAGACUGGGAUAACUUCGGGAAACCGGAGCUAAUACCGGAUAAUAUUUUGAACCGCAUGGUUCAAAAGUGAAAGACGGUCUUGCUGUCACUUAUAGAUGGAUCCGCGCUGCAUUAGCUAGUUGGUAAGGUAACGGCUUACCAAGGCAACGAUGCAUAGCCGACCUGAGAGGGUGAUCGGCCACACUGGAACUGAGACACGGUCCAGACUCCUACGGGAGGCAGCAGUAGGGAAUCUUCCGCAAUGGGCGAAAGCCUGACGGAGCAACGCCGCGUGAGUGAUGAAGGUCUUCGGAUCGUAAAACUCUGUUAUUAGGGAAGAACAUAUGUGUAAGUAACUGUGCACAUC